UACUCGAGUGGCGAACGGGUGAGUAACACGUGGGUGAUCUGCCCUGCACUUCGGGAUAAGCCUGGGAAACUGGGUCUAAUACCGGAUAGGACGAUGGUUUGGAUGCCAUUGUGGAAAGUUUUUCGGUGUGGGAUGAGCCCGCGGCCUAUCAGCUUGUUGGUGGGGUAAUGGCCUACCAAGGCGUCGACGGGUAGCCGGCCUGAGAGGGUGUACGGCCACAUUGGGACUGAGAUACGGCCCAG
rnacentral:rRNA from 1 species